GGCAAUCUGCCCUGCACUCUGGGACAAGCCCUGGAAACGGGGUCUAAUACCGGAUACUGAGCCACUUGGGCAUCCAAGUGGUUCGAAAGCUCCGGCGGUGCAGGAUGAGCCCGCGGCCUAUCAGCUUGUUGGUGAGGUAAUGGCUCACCAAGGCGACGACGGGUAGCCGGCCUGAGAGGGCGACCGGCCACACUGGGACUGAGACACGGCCCAGACUCCUACGGGAGGCAGCAGUGGGGAAUAUUGCACAAUGGGCGAAAGCCUGAUGCAGCGACGCCGCGUGAGGGAUGACGGCCUUCGGGUUGUAAACCUCUUUCAGCAGGGAAGAAGCGAAAGUGACGGUACCUGCAGAAGAAGCGCCGGCUAACUACGUGCCAGCAGCCGCGGUAAUACGUAGGGCGCAAGCGUUGUCCGGAAUUAUUGGGCGUAAAGAGCUCGUAGGCGGCUUGUCACGUCGGUUGUGAAAGCCCGGGGCUUAACCCCGGGUCUGCAGUCGAUACGGGCAGGCUAGAGUUCGGUAGGGGAGAUCGGAAUUCCUGGUGUAGCGGUGAAAUGCGCAGAUAUCAGGAGGAACACCGGUGGCGAAGGCGGAUCUCUGGGCCGAUACUGACGCUGAGGAGCGAAAG
rnacentral:rRNA from 1 species